rnacentral:rRNA from 1 species
CCCUUAGAUGUUCUGGGCCGCACGCGCGCUACAAUGGUCUUCGCAAACGGAUGCAUUCUCGAAGGAGAAUGCCAAUCUUGGAAUCUAUGCCUUGGUCGGGACAGUUGCUUGCAAUUUUUCGACUCGAACCAGGAAUUCCUUGUAAUCGUGAUUCAUCACAUCACGAUGAAUACGUCCCUGCCCUUUGUACACACCGCCCGUCGCUCCUACCGAUCGAAGAGUUAGGUGAAUUGUUUUGAUCGAUAAGAUUUGACUAUGGUCAACUCUCGUUGUGAAAUUCUGUGAAUCUGACUGUUUAGAGGAAGGAAAAGUCGUAUCA